rnacentral:rRNA from 1 species
CUGGCCGUAAACGAUGAAUGCUAGGUGUGUGUGUAGAGAUACAUGCGUGCCGGAGUUAACGCGAUAAGCAUUCCGCCUGGGGAGUACGGUCGCAAGAUUGAAACUCAAAGGAAUUGACGGGGGCCCGCACAAGCGGUGGAGCACGUGGUUUAAUUCGAUGCAAACCGAAGAACCUUACCUGGGUUUGACAUGUACGUGGUACGGAUCUGAAAGGUGAAGGACCUUUUCUUCGGAAGGGGAGCGUACACAGGUGC